CUCAGCGAGAUGGCCAUCUACUUCUGGGAGAUGGUCGGAAUGAUAAACAACAUGCUCACUCAAAAUCCUGUCUUAAUAAGUGUUUAGUCGCUCUGUCUGUCUGUCUCUCUCGCCCUCCUCCUCUCUCUCCCAGGCAGGAGAGUCCGUCCUUAGUGGUCUGGAAGGCUGUAAGAUCCUGAUGGUGCUGUCAAAAGUUUGAGACAGAGACCAGGCUUUCCAUGAAGGAGUUUGAUAAACUGGCCAAAGAUGUGUUCAGUGUCUGCUACCAGAGCAGUGAGAGCUGCUCCUUCCCCCUCCUUAUAAGGAAGUCUCCCGUGUGGGGCGGAGCUACCUGUAUGCAAAUGGC
rnacentral:lncRNA from 1 species